UCCCCCCGUGCGGCCCGUGGAUAAUGGCUCCUGAGGGCUCUCCCCGGGGCUGCUGAAGAGGAAACGCGGGGCGCGAGAGGCGCGGCGCGCGGGAGCGCGGGGGAGAAAGGAGCGAGCCCGGGGCCGCGGCGAGCGGCGGGCGGCAGAGAAAGGAAUCGUGCGAGCGCUCACAUUUUUCUCCUCCCAAGGAUCUCAUCUGGUCGCCGCGUUCUGGAAGAGGCGAGGGGAGAGCGCGCGCGAGGAGGAGGAGGAGGAGGAGGAGGAGGAGGAGGUGGAGGUGGAGGAGGCGAGGUGGCGAGGGGAAAGGGAGACGGCGAGACGCGCAGCCCCGGCGCCGGCGAGACCCAGGAGGAGCCCGCAGAUUAAGAGACUGAGGCUCAGAUGAGCUGUGAAGAGGCAGAGCUGAUUCCAGGGCCUAUAUCCCCCAGUACUGCCCUGCCCUGCUUCCUUCAAAGCCCACCUGUCCAAAGAACCUUCUGGAAACAUGCCACUGGGGUCUGGAGAUGCCACCACCAAAGGCUGAGGCCUCACCCCAUCCACUGAGUCUCUGCAAACCGAACACCCACAGGUAUUUAAAGAAGCAGGCUCUGGGCCAGAUGGGAUGGUCUACCUACAGGCUGUUUUCUUUGUCUUUCGGGGUGUUUUGCCCUCACCUGGCAGGGGAGUGCUUCUGAGGCUUGCCUGGUGGCCCCAGGCCAGGGCAGCCAAGGCUCAGGGCUCUCCAUUGUCUUGGCCCGGCCCUUUUUGAAGGGUUUCUAUGCCUUUCUGCCUCACCAGCUCUGGGCCAGGCCUGGGCACCCGUGGGUGGCUGGGCGAAGCAGCGGGAGAGGGACACACGUGUGGCUGCUCACCGUGAGCCGUCAGCUCCACGUUUGGUCUCCCCGGCCCUUGCCGAUCGCCAU
rnacentral:lncRNA from 1 species